CGCGAAAUGAAUGAAUAAAAACGGCAGACUUCAGCGUAUAACGUUUACUGUACACAACUAAAAAGAAAGACGAAGAGAAGAGCAGUCUAAUACGAGCCCCUCUUUAGUUACAAGCAGCCUACGAGACUCGUCUCUGGCUGCUCUCGAUAAGCCUCCGCGCCAAACCGGACAGCACGACUGAAGCGAGUAUCCAAAAGCGUCCGAAAAGUACGAGCAGUGCAGCGGCGCAGCUCCGCCCCGAGGUGGCCUGGAUCUGGAGUGAUCAAGUGCGAGGAGCAGCCAACUCUUCUAGGACACCCCCACCUCCGACACCUCCGUCAGCGGCGGCACGCCUUGCAGCAUCAGAGACGGUGCUGAUGGAGGAAGAGGAGAGAGGGCGAGAGGUUUCCCAGAGACUAUGGGUUGAGGAGGAAGUGGAAGUUUGUCGGCUUAGACCUGGUGUCAUUCCAUCAGUGUUAAACUUCCCGGCUCAUCUUGGAAGAGUACGUGCCAGAAAGACCACGACCAAGCAGCCUUGAGAUCUUAGACAGCGUCUCCCUCAGGUCCCUCUCUAUCUCCCCACACAUCCACCAACCACUGGAACACAUCUCCAAAGUUCUGCCGGGCCAGCUCAGCUUCCCCUCAGAAGAAGUGCCGCCACCUGCCAGAUGAAGGAGCCUUUUGAGAG
ensembl:lncRNA